rnacentral:lncRNA from 1 species
CUCGCCGCCGCUUCACGCUGGCGGUGUCCCCAGCGGGGGUAGCACUUGCUGCUGCUGCUGAGGAGGGGCCAGCCCGCGUUUCCCCCCCGCAAGCAGCGCACGGCGGGACUGAGCCCCUGCCCUGUCCUCAGCCCGCCCGGACCCGCAUGGCGUGCUACCUGGUCAUCAGCUCCAGGCAUCUCAGCAACGGGCACUACCGUGGCAUUAAAGGAGUCUUCAGGGGACCGCUCUGCAAGAAAGGCGCUCACUCCUCGAUAUUAUCCAGACAUUGAAGCAAUUUGUGUCUGUGAAUCAAAAUCAGCCUGGGCAGAAGCCAGUGGAAUUCAACGUGAACAAUCAAUUUAAAGCCAGUGGAAUUGUGCCUACUUGUGCCAUGGGUGAAUUUGGCCCUAAGUUGAUUAAUUGUAUUGUCAUAAUUAAAACUUCUGAUUCAUGAUGUUAAUAUUCUGAGCCUACAAAAUAUAUCUACUAUUUAUGUUAGUUUGUAAGAUCAAUGCCAUAUCUAUAGUGAAUCAGGAAAGUUAAGAGAGAAAUAUCAUUACUUGUGUUGAAGAAUUUUAGUUUGGCACAAUUUUUUUAAAUGCUGAUGUAGAACAUCUCUGUGUGUGGUUUGUACAAAUGUAUUCUGUUCUAUAGCUUGUUUGUGAAUUAAUUGUUAUGAGUAUUCCACUGAAAGAGAUAUUGAGGAUUUGUAGGUAGGGCCCUACCAAAUUCAUGGUCCAUUUUGGUCAAUUUCACAGUCAUAGGAUUUUAAAAAUUGUAAAUUUCAUAAUUUCAGCUAUUUAAAUGUAAAAUUUCACAGUGUUGUAAUUGUAGGGAUCCUGACUCAAAACAGCGUGUUGUGUGUGUGUGUG